GACGAACGCUGGCGGCGUGCUUAACACAUGCAAGUCGAGCGGUAAGGCCCUUUCGGGGGUACACGAGCGGCGAACGGGUGAGUAACACGUGGGUGACCUGCCCUUAGCUCUGGGAUAAGCCUGGGAAACUGGGUCUAAUACCGGAUAUGACUCCAUGACGCAUGUUGUGGGGUGGAAAGCCUUGUGCGGCUAGGGAUGGGCCUGCGGCCUAUCAGCUUGUUGGUGGGGUGAUGGCCUACCAAGGCGACGACGGGUAGCCGGCCUGAGAGGGCGACCGGCCACACUGGGACUGAGACACGGCCCAGACUCCUACGGGAGGCAGCAGUGGGGAAUCCUGCGCAAUGGGCGAAAGCCUGACGCAGCGACGCCGCGUGGGGAUGAC
rnacentral:rRNA from 1 species